rnacentral:rRNA from 1 species
GACGAACGCUGGCGGCGUGCUUAACACAUGCAAGUCGAACGGAAAGGCCCUGCUUUUGUGGGGUGCUCGAGUGGCGAACGGGUGAGUAACACGUUAGUAACCUGCCCUUGACUUUGGGAUAACUUCAGGAAACUGUGGCUAAUACCGUAUAGGAGCUCCUGCUGCAUGGUGGGGGUUGGAAAGUUUCGGCGGUUGGGGAUGGACUCGCGGCUUAUCAGCUUGUUGGUGGGGUAGUGGCUUACCAAGGCUUUGACGGGUAGCCGGCCUGAGAGGGUGACCGGCCACAUUGGGACUGAGAUACGGACCAGACUCCUACGGGAGGCAGCAGGGGGGAAUAUUGCACAAUGGGCGGAAGCCUGAUGCAGCAACGCCGCGUGCGGGAUGACGGCCUUCGGGUUGUAAACCGCUUUCGCCUGUGACGAAGCGUGAGUGACGGUAAUGGGUAAAGAAGCACCGGCUAACUACGUG